rnacentral:rRNA from 1 species
UACGGAGGUGGCGAGCGUUGUUCGGAAUUAUUGGGCUUAAAGCGCGUGUAGGCGGGACGGCAAGUGUCGGGUGAAAGCCCUCGGCUCAACCGAGGAAUGGCCUGGCAAACUGCCGUCCUUGAGGCAGGCAGAGGUGGCUAGAACGACGGGUGGAGCGGUGAAAUGCGUAGAUAUCCGUUGGAAUGCCAGCGGCGAAAGCAGGCCACUGGGCCUGUCCUGACGCUGAGGAGCGAAAGCGUGGGGAGCGAACAGG